rnacentral:rRNA from 1 species
AUUGAACGCUGGCGGCAUGCCUUAACACAAUGCAAGUCGAACGGCAGCACGGGGCAACCUGGUGGCGAGUGGCGAACGGGUGAGUAAUGCAUCGGAACGUGCCAUUGAGUGGGGGAUAACGUAGCGAAAGUUGCGCUAAUACCGCAUAUUCUGUGAGCAGGAAAGCAGGGGGACCGCAAGGCCUUGCGCUCUUUGAGCGGCCGAUGUCAGAUUAGCUAGUUGGUGAGGUAACGGCUUACCAAGGCAACGAUCUGUAGCGGGUCUGAGAGGAUGAUCGCCACACUGGAACUGAGACACGGUCCAGACUCCUACGGGAGCAGCAGUGGGGAAUUUUGGACAAUGGGCGCAAGCCUGAUCCAGCCAUGCCGCGUGAGUGAAGAAGGCC